GACGAACGCUGGCGGCGUGCUUAACACAUGCAAGUCGAACGGAAAGGCCCUGCUUUUGUGGGGUGCUCGAGUGGCGAACGGGUGAGUAACACGUGAGUAACCUGCCCUUGACUUUGGGAUAACUUCAGGAAACUGGGGCUAAUACCGGAUAGGAGCUCCUGCUGCAUGGUGGGGGUUGGAAAGUUUCGGCGGUUGGGGAUGGACUCGCGGCUUAUCAGCUUGUUGGUGGGGUAGUGGCUUACCAAGGCUUUGACGGGUAGCCGGCCUGAGAGGGUGACAGGCCACAUUAGAACUGAGAUACGGCCCAGACUCCUACGGGAGGCAACAGUGGAGAAUAUUACACAAUGGGCGGAAGCCUGAUGCAGCAACGCCGCGUGCGGGAUGACGACCUUCGGGUUGUAAACCAAUUUCGCCUGUGACGAAGCGUGAGUGACGGUAAUGAGUAAAGAAGCACCGGCUAACUACGUG
rnacentral:rRNA from 1 species